UUUGGGUGAAAGGCUAAUCAAACCUCGUGAUUGCCCGUUCUCUUCGAAAUAGCUUUAGGGCUAGCCUCGUGGACUUCACUUGCGGAGGUAAAGUACUGGAUGGACUAGGGCCUUUACCCAGGUACCGAAUCCAACCAAACUCUGAAUACCGCAAAGUGCGACCACGGGAGUCAGACAGUGGGGGCUAAGCUUCAUUGUCGAGAGGGAAACAGCCCAGACCGUCAGCUAAGGUCCCUAAUUCACACUCAGUGGUAAAGGAUGUGGAUCUACUAUAACAACCAGGAGGUUGGCUUAGAAGCAGCCAUCCUUUAAAGAAAGCGUAAUAGCUCACUGGUCUAGUGGGUCCGCGCCGACAAUUCAACGGGGCUCAAGUGUGAUACCGAAGCUGCGGACUCGGACGCGAUUCGUCGCGUUCGAUUGGUAGAAGAGCAUUCCAUGUUCGGUGACGCUCGACCGACAAGGACGGGUUGAGGACAUGGAAGAGACCCUGCCGGCACAAGUAGCGAGAAAACGCGCGAGAACCGCGUUCGCCGAAAGCCUAAGGUUUCCUGAGCAAGGUCAAUCCGCUCAGGGUUAGUCGGUCCUAAGGCCAGGCCGAAAGGCGUAGCCGAUGGAAAACGGGUCAACAUUCCCGUACUGCCGACAGACGAUAAAGACCGAUGGGGUGACGCAGAAGGGUAAGCCAGCCCACGACUGGAAGUGUGGGUUCAAGGGUGUAGGAAGGCUCCGCAGGCAAAUCCACGGGGCCGCGUUUCCGAGACCUGAUGACGAGAGCUUCGGCUCACAAAGUGGCCAAUCCCAGGCUGCCAAGAAAAGCCUCUAAGGAGUCUGUUGGUGACCGUACCGCAAACCGACACAGGUAGGCGAGGAGAAAAUCCUAAGGCGCUAGUGAGAACCCUCGUUUAGGAACUCGGCAAAAUGACCCCGUAACUUCGGGAGAAGGGGUGCCCUCCGGGGUGAGGAGCUUCGCGCUCCAGGCUCUGAAGGGUUGCAGUGAAACGGCCCAAGCGACUGUUUACUAAAAACACAGGACUCUGCAAAGUCACAAAAACGACGUAUAGGGUCUGACGCCUGCCCGGUGCCGGAAGGUUAAAGAGAGGUGUUAGCCGCAAGGCAAAGCGCCGAACUGAAGCCCCGGUAAACGGCGGCCGUAACUAUAACGGUCCUAAGGUAGCGAAAUUCCUUGUCGGGUAAGUUCCGACCUGCACGAAUGGCGUAACGAUUUGGGCGCUGUCUCAACGAGGGGCACUGCGAAUCUGUAGUACCGGUGAAGAUGCCGGUUUCCCGCAACUAGACGGAAAGACCCCGUGCACCUUUACUGCACCCUAGCCUUGAACUUGGGUGCGCCCUGCGCAGAAUAGGUGGGAGGCUUUGAUACCGGGCUCUCGGGCUCGGUGGAGCCAACUGUGAGAUACCACCCUUGGUGCUCUUAGGUUCUAACCUACUUCCCUGAAUCGGGAAGAGGAACAGGGCUAGGCGGGUAGUUUGACUGGGGCGGUCGCCUCCUAAAGUGUAACGGAGGCGCUCGAAGGUUCCCUCAGGCUGUUC
rnacentral:rRNA from 1 species